rfam:Camelus ferus unplaced genomic scaffold scaffold4774, whole genome shotgun sequence.
GAAGGCAUAGCUCAGUGGUAGAGCGUGUGGUCAGCAUGCACAAGGUCCUGGGUUCAAUCCCCAGUAUCGCCA